AUCAAGGCUAUAUUGGAGCAUUAUUCACCCAUGCUUAUAACGACGUCCGUCUGAAUGCACUUGAUUCCUUUGCGGAGUUGAUACAUAUCCCUUCAACCGAAACGACUGACGAGGAAUUACGAAAAAUCGUCGAGCGUUGGUUUCAUCAGCUUGACUCCAAGCCAAUCCAGUUGGUUAUGAACGUUACGAAACAACCAUUCAAAGAUUUAAGGUUUUCUGCUCUGCGCAUAUUUCUGCAACUUGUUCCUCAAAUUUGGGCUUAAAUUCUCAUGAGUCAGCACUCAGCAGCCAGGUUUCUUUGAGUUUCUUCUCGACGGACGGGCUGAGCCAGAUAAAGACUGUCACGAGCUGAAAUUCAACGUCUUUUUUUAAGACUUAAAACUGCAUCGCGGUUUUAGAAAUUUGAUAUUUUUAGGUGCACUUAUGUAAGAGAAAAGACUAGUUAGCGCAUAGUUAUUUCGAACUUAUUUCGAUUUUUGAUUAAUUUAGUGUUAUCGCAUAUACAACAAAAUAAUUAACAGUGUCUGUGACUCUGUGACAUGGAUUUGGAUAAGCCGUUUUUGCACCCAAAAAUUAUGAAUGAACUAGGUCUCUUCCAAAGGUUUGAUAGAUUGUAACAACGCCAUUUUUAUAAAUGAAAAUCGUUUCAUAACAUUUGAUUGGUGUCAUUGAAUGCAUUGACCCUGUUAACCGCAACAGGUGACUCUUCUUAUUGUCAGUGGCAGUUUUUUCAAGAGAGUAGCCAAAAUGAUUGCAAAAGUGUCGACAAUGAAUGUCGGCGUUAAAUUAGUGUCUUCCAGUACAGAAUAGGAAAGAACGCAAGUACAAUCGAGUUAGAUGUUGCAAAUGUUUUCAGAAUGUUGUCGGCAAAUUUCAUAGUUCCCGCCACGAUUAUUCCGUUGAGCGUCUUUUGAAUUAAGAAUUGAAAAAAUUACAGUCGAGUUCAGUUAUUACUUACCUAUGGAAAUCUUGAUGACUCAAGUAUAAAUAAGGCGAUUGGCAUUGGAUGGCGGGUUGAUGGAUCGGUAAGUACUGAAUCACACAAUCUUAUUAUGUAACACGAAAUUCCAUUUAAUAAAUGGUAUAAUCGUAAUUUUCAAAUAUAACACUCGGCAUCAGACAGGCGAACUAUGAAAUCUUAAAAAGACAACCUUUCCAAUUCGAUCAAACGAUUCAUGCUCCGUGGUUUACGAUCUGCAGUGGGAUCCCGACCGUAUGAUCUGCGCAGGGAAUGCGACCAACGAUGCUUGCAACGAGACCAUAUCUAAGUUGCCCGAUAUUGCCUACCAAAAAAUCAAUAUAGUUUAAGUGUAUUGGGAAAAGAUCACAUAAAGAUAUCGUAUAUUUUUCUUUUAAUCUCAUCAAAAAAAGAUAACAAAAAGAUAGGCUAUAAAAUUUUCGUUAUCUUAUCUUUAUUUUAUUAUCUGGAGCAAAACACUGUUAAUUAUUGCUGAUAAUUGGAUUUCAGAAUUUUUCGUACUCUUCAGAAG